GGGAAUCUUCCUAUUGGUAUGGAAUAGCUCAGGGAAACUUGGGGUAAUACCGUAUAAGCCCGAGAGGGGAAAGAUUUAUCGCCAAUAGAUGAGCCCGCGUCUGAUUAGCUAGUUGGUGAGGUAAUGGCUCACCAAGGCGACGAUCAGUAGCUGGUCUGAGAGGAUGAUCAGCCACACUGGGACUGAGACACGGCCCAGACUCCUACGGGAGGCAGCAGUGGGGAAUAUUGGACAAUGGGCGCAAGCCUGAUCCAGCCAUGCCGCGUGAGUGACGAAGGUCUUCGGAUUGUAAAGCUCUUUUGGCGGGGACGAUAAUGACGGUACCCGCAGAAUAAGCCCCGGCUAACUUCGUGCCAACAGCCGCGGUAAUACGAAGGGGGCUAGCGUUGUUCGGAAUCACUGGGCGUAAAGCGCACGUAGGCGGAUUUGUUAGUCAGGGGUGAAAUCCCGGGGCUCAACCUCGGAACUGCCUCUGAUACUGCAGAUCUCGAGUCCGAUAGAGGUGAGUGGAAUUCCUAGUGUAGAGGUGAAAUUCGUAGAUAUUAGGAAGAACACCAGUGGCGAAGGCGGCUCACUGGAUCGGUACUGA
rnacentral:rRNA from 1 species